rnacentral:rRNA from 1 species
AUUGAACGCUGGCGGCAGGCUUAACACAUGCAAGUCGAGCGAGCGGCGGACGGGUGAGUAAUGUAUCGGGACCUGCCUGGUGGAGGGGGAUAACUACUGGAAACAGUAGCUAAUACCGCAUACCAUCAGAUGAACCCAUAUCGGAUUAGCUGGUUGGUGGGGUAAAGGCUCACCAAGGCGACGAUCCCUAGCUGGUCUGAGAGGACGACCAGCCACACUGGGACUGAGACACGGCCCAGACUCCUACGGGAGGCAGCAGUGGGGAAUAUUGGACAAUGGGCGAAAGCCUGAUGCAGCCAUCCCGCGUGUAUGAAGAAGGCCUUCGGGUUGUAAAGUUCUUUUGGUAGAGAGGCGUUAUCUGCAGAAUAAGCACCGGCUAACUCCGUGCCAGCAGCCGCGGUAAUUC